rnacentral:lncRNA from 1 species
GUAUGAUCUGUCUGAGGCCACGUGUCUGGCACAAUGUGUCUGGGGCUGCAUGCAGUGUCGUCUGGGACUGGUUCUCUACUUCCUGACCUUCCUUUAAAAGGUCACCUUGCUAAAGGGUCGACCUUUAAUGGUAUGGGGUACAAGGACUGUCAGGUGCACGCUGCACGCCUAUUUCCCUCUUUUCAAAUGCAGCGAUCCGUCCCACAGGGUUGAAUAGUACUGGCGUAUUAGUUAUCUGUCCAUGUGUGUGACUUAGGAGUCUAGAGUGUUAAGCGUGCAUUGUUCCAUCCAUCCGUAGGGAGGAGAUUGGAGAGCCCCCCACCUGGGUGGCUCUGACUCGGGGUCCUCUCUGAGGUGGCAGUCAUGAUGUCCAUCGAAAAUGUUUAAAGAUUAAGAUUAAGACGUUCUCCAAGGGGCCCAGUCGUCUGAGGGCUAACCUGAGGUGGGAGGCUGCACUUCCAAGGUGACUCUCAUGCUUCAUGUUAGUCCUGGUCCUCAGGGGACCCCUUCCUUACCACGGGGACCCCUUCCUUACCACGUGCUCCUGACCACAGGGCUUCCCGAGCGCACAGCGUGGCGGCUGGACUCCCACACAGUGACUGACUCCAGAGGAGGCAAGGCUUCCUCCGAGUCCCCAGAGGCCACACGCUGUCAUUUCUGCAAUAUCCUAUUGGUUGCACAGGCCAGCCUGGUCCACUUGGUGGUCAACUACAAAAGGACACGAAUACCAGGAAGCAGGGUCCCUGGGGCCAUCUUGAAGGGUGGCCAACCUGACCCAUCCAGGAGGCCGGGCCCCAGGCAGACCUUCUGUUCUUCCUUCACCUCUUCACGUCAGCAGCCACCUCUGCUUUGAAAUCGGAGACCCAGUCAGAGGACGUCCAGGUCCCUGCUGUCCUCUGCGGCUCAGGGGUGCGGGGGCGUGCUCUCUGUACUGGGUUCUGUUCUCUCUCUCACUGUGAGGGUCUUGGUUCCAAGACCCAGUUUCCCAUCACCCUUUGUCCUGCCCCUGAAGGGAAGGUCAUCUGUCCCUCACCAGGGCCUGCAGCUGCAGCAGGGGCUUCAUUUCUAAAAGGAGCAACACAGAGACGGGUGGCAGUUAGGAGCCCGCGUAGGCUCCGGGCUGAUUAGAAAAAUGUUGUAAAAUAACUGCAGAGAUUGAGGCGCCUCCAAGGGCGUGGCUGGAAUCAGCCUGACAGAGGAUUUCACACCAGGAACGGCGGCGCGGCGUGUGAGAAGUCAAGGCCCCGGCCUCCCAGGUGACUGGGAACCCAGGAUACGGAGGUGCGUCCUUAUGGAUGGUCCAGUUUCACAUUGAAGGGUGGGUUGAGGUUGACGGCAAUGACAGAAAGAGGCAGAAAGGACCGUAAAAUAAAACACUGAGAGGAGAGGAUUCUGUGCUGUGUGGGACGGGAGCAGAG